GAUGAACGCUGGCGGCGGGCCUAAUACAUGCAAGUCGAACGCUGGAAAUCUAGCUUGCUAGAUUGAAGGAGUGGCGAACGGGUGAGUAAUACAUAAGCAACCUACCCACGAAGACUGGGAGAAUCUCUGGAAACGGGGACUAAUACCGGAUAGGUAAUCGGAAGGCAUCUUCUGAUGAUUAAAGGUUAAAAACACUGGUGGAUGGGCUUAUGGCGCAUUAGUUAGUUGGUGAGGUAACGGCCCACCAAGACGAUGAUGCGUAGCCGGCCUGAGAGGGUGAACGGCCACAUUGGGACUGAGACACGGCCCAGAAUGCUACGGGAGGCAGCAGUAGGGAAUUUUAGGCAAUGGGGGAAACCCUGACCGAGCAACGCCGCGUGAGUGAUGACGGCCUUCGGGUUGUAAAGCUCUGUUGUAAGGGAAGAACGGUAGAUAGAGAAUAUCUAAAUGACGGUACCUUACCAGAAAGCCACGGCUAACUACGUG
rnacentral:rRNA from 1 species